UCUAGUGAUGAUGGCAAAGAGGUCACACCCGUUCCCAUACCGAACACGGAAGUUAAGCUCUUUAGCGCCGAUGGUAGUUGGGGGCUUCCCCNUGUAUAUUAAAAUUAUUCCGAAGU
rnacentral:rRNA from 1 species